rnacentral:rRNA from 1 species
CCUACGGGAGGCAGCAGUGGGGAAUAUUGGACAAUGGGCGAAAGCCUGAUCCAGCAAUUCCGCGUGUGUGAAGAAGGCCUUCGGGUUGUAAAGCACUUUAGUGGGGGAAGAAACAGCUUGGCCACACCAAGCCUUGACGGUACCCCAAGAAUAAGCACCGGCUAACUCUGUGCCAGCAGCCGCGGUAAUACAGAGGGUGCAAGCGUUAAUCGGAUUUACUGGGCGUAAAGGGUGCGUAGGUGGCUAUUUAAGUCGGAUGUGAAAGCCCGGGGCUCAACCUCGGAAUUGCAUUCGAUACUGAGUGGCUAGAGUUCGGUAGAGGGCGGCGGAAUUUCCGGUGUAGCGGUGAAAUGCGUAGAUAUCGGAAGGAACAUCAAUGGCGAAGGCAGCCGCCUGGGCCUGGACUGACACUGAGGCACGAAAGCGUGGGUAGCAAACAGGAUUAGAUACCCUGGUAGUCCACGCCGUAAACGAUGAGAACUUGACGUUGGUUCGUUUUACGAAUCGGUGUCGCAGCUAACGCGAUAAGUUCUCCGCCUGGGGAGUACGGCCGCAAGGUUGAAACUUAAAGGAAUUGACGGCUAGAGUGCGACGACGACACAGGAGUAGG